ACUGAGUCUGGGCCAGGGUUUUGAACUUCCUUCCCACCUGUCAGAGCAGGGAGCGGGAUCCCCAGACAUGACUUCAACUCUCACGACCCCUCCUGACCUGUGCAAUGAGGAAUGAAGUGACUGGCCUAUGGAGGUGUGGGCAUCUGAGCACUAGCAUCAGCCCCAGACUCGGUCCUACCACCGACCCAACCUGCCAACUCCAGCUCCAGCCUGGACCAACAUGGAGAAGGACUUUCAAGACAUCCAGCAGCUGGACCCUGAAGAAGAUGACCACCAGCUGGGUGGAGGCGAGAGGCCAGGAACUCAUGAGGACAAC